rnacentral:tRNA from 1 species
GGGAUGUAGCUCAGUGUCACAGUGCCUGCCUGUCAAGCGCAAGGCCCUGGGUUUGAUUCCCAGCAUACCCC